UUUAAAUAGGAAGUGCAGUGAAAUGUUCUUGUUGAGUUUGAUGUGAAGAUUUGCCUAUAUUAUUAUCUAUUUAUGGGUAUAAUCACUGAGGUAAGUAGAACUACAACAAUAAAUAAACAUUUCCAGGUCUGGAUUCUGCCUUCCCUCUCAUCCAAAUCACCUCUUACUAUGCUGUGAGCAGUUUUAAGACUCAUUUAAUAAUGUUUUCUUCAUGUGACUUUCUUUCCAUACACUAGAAAGAAAUUUUUGUAAACAUCUCUUUUGGCCGAAGCCUGUUAUCAGAAGGGUUUUUUCCACCCAAUUAGCAACUGGUUCUUAAUUGCUUUUAAAGCAUCAGUUUACAUUAAUAACUAAGUCAAAGGCAAAUUAUAUAUUUUGAAAUAAAAACCAAUUAGUUGAGAGCUGUUUGUUGUUCAGGCAAAACAUCCAGCACAAAGCUUGUCAUUCAAAUCUAGAUUUUUUUAAACUUUAAAAUGUGAUUUUUACUCUAACACAAUUAAUUCACACACAACCAAACCAACGGAACCAGUAGUGUUAUCCCCACUGUUUAAAAAAAUUACAUUAAGUAAAUUACAUAGAGUACUUUGGAUCCUCCUUACCUCCCUGCAAAAAUCUGCAAGAACAAAGAUGUAGACAGAGUCAAUAGAAGGGAAUACUCAUACAUUCUCAAUAAACACCCAUCUUUAGCCCUACCUGAGACCAUGAGGCCCCCAGUUCAGCUGUAAGAGCUGAGUAAGGAUUCUGGCUCUGGGUGCUGACAGUGUUCAAGGGGAAAAGGAGGACUCAGCUCAGUCUGACUUGGCACUGCUGACUGCAGAACUGCAGUGUACUCGAGGACAAGGACCAAAAGCAUCAAAGACCACUGGUUUGCGUAUCAUCAACUUGCAAAUAAUACUCUAUGACACUCAGGUCCCUUCACCUGUUGAAAGCGUUUAGGAACCAACACAGUAAUUAAUGAAUGUUGCAGGGGUGAGUACUCCAGUGUCUGCACAGGACUCAGGGCAGAUUGGUCCAUGCUUAAAAGCUAUCACACUAUAGAGGUACACAAGGGAAUUUUGCUGAAAUAUUUCAAGACAUAUGCCUGACAUAAAACAUUGCAAUCUCUGAGUCUGCAGUGGUUUUCCAAGUUACAGAAUCACACAGACUCACAGAAUAUGCCAAGUUAGAAGAGACCCACAAGGAUCAUUAAGACAAAGUUUUAGUCCUGUAAAGAACCAUCCCCCAAUUAGCUUAAAACAUAAUGGAAAGAAAUCUCUGUGCAUAAAUAUUACCCUUUUGGCAGAAGAGGGUAAGUUGCUGAGACGGAGGUGGCAGGUUUCUUCAUGAAAGAGGGAGGGAGACUGUGUUUUAGGAACAUGACUGCUCUGAAAGACCACUAUAAUAUGCCGUCUAUGUGUUCUACAUUAUGAAAUUGGAAUGGAAGAUGGGCUUAUUUAUUUUUCACUGUUGCUCUUUGGAAUGCCAAAUAAAAUAGAGCCAAAAAAGAGCACCAUUUUAUAAAUACAGAUACUCUCAGAGCAGUUCACUCAAAUAAGGUUCUGCUCUGAAGUGGUCACUUACUGUCAAGUUAAAUCUAUGUGAGUGAAACAGUGGGGCCACUGAAUGAUGCAGACCAUUUCCAUGCCUCCUUCAGUCCCAGAGGAGAGAAAGAGCAUAAAACUUCAGAUUCUUUUGUCCAUGAAAGAAAGAAAGCAUUGGGAAAGCAGCUCCUGCCCACAUGGGUAUUGAGAGCUACUCUUUCCUUCUUAGAUCAAGAAUGAGUAUCCACCCUCUAUUUUCUUUUGUUUUUUAAUAUUAUGCAGCAUCUCAUCAGCCUUGUGGAAAAAAGAAACGGUAUGCAUUUUUUCUAAGGUCUGUAGUGUUAUGCAACAUUUCUAGAAAUGUUUCUUCUUGGUUGCACUAACAGCUGUAUGUUGCCACAGUAAAUUAAAGAUAACUCUACAAUACUAGUGUUAGAAAUAGGAUUAAAAUUUGCUUCCUUAUUCUAAGUUAGCUAGUAUUCUAAUGAGUAAACGUUAUUCUAGAUGUGCCAUAUCCCAUGCCAGAGUAUAUUAGAUAUUCUCAUAUUGUGACCAACUAACUAUAGAAAUCAUAUGUACAAUUUGUAUGUCUACAUAUGCAUGUAUAUAGCUGUAUAUAUAUGUACACUUCCAAGAUCUAAUCUAGUUAUUGCUUUAAAAAAGAAAAAAUCUUGUCUAUUCUGAUUCAGGUAUAUUAUCUAUACAGAUAGCAAGAACUGGAUCGUAGGAUAAUAGAAGGAUUUAGGUUGGAAGGGACCUUAAGGAUUACAGAAUUGUUUGGGCUGGAAGAGACCUUUGGAAAUCAUCUAGUCCAAGCCCACUGAAAUGAGCAGGAUCAAGUAGAUCAGGUUGCUCUGAGCACCAUCCAAGCUGACCUCAAAUGUGUCACGGGAUGGUGAUCCGGGCAACCUGUGCCAGUGUUUCACAGACCCCAGAGCACACCUAACAGUACUAGGUGCCCAUACAUAGCUGGUCAACUCCUGCCUGUCUCCCUGGUAGAGGAAGACUUGUCCCAAGUUUUCCUUUUUUUUUGUAGGCUGUACAUCUGUGUUGUAGGGAAUUGAACACUCAAGAAUAGGAUUGUAUUUUUCUAUUGACUAUUAAUGUGAAAGAAUAAAUUACAACAUUUUAAUUUCCAUUUAAAAUCAGUGGGUUUAAGUGUGAAAGUGGCAUUUUUAUAUUAGAUAAACAUAGUUUUUAAUCCUUAAGUAAGGUUUCAAAAGAGAAGACUGAAAAGUGUGUCAACUAAAAUCAUGGAGAAUAAAAUGCUGACAAUAGAAGCUGAAGGUAUAGAGAGAUAAGCAGCCUCCUGAGACUGAGAACUAAUCAGGUUAUCAUUUGCUUAGCCUGUGAAAGUGGAAAUUAGGCUUACUCAUGUAGUUAUGGUUUUCCUUUUCAGUAACACUACUCCCAAUAAGUUUAACUUUAACUCCUGCUAGUUAUUUCUUUCAGAGUACUGCAUUUGGCUUGUAUCACAAAAUGUUAUAAAAUGCCUUGCUAGUUAAGGAUGUUCAUAGUCCAUGUUUGGACAGGGAAGAUUGUGCAACUGUGCCUUUACCUGUGACACAGAGGCCCAUGCCACAGUGGCUGGUGCCAGUGAGACCCAUGAGUUCCCUUGUUUCUGCUGGAACAUUCCAGCUGCAAGUAACAUGUAAAGUUAAAUACUUAUUGCUCCAAGGUGAAGCUUAACUGAUUUUCAUGUUUAUACCUUGUAUCAUAGAAUAUCUAGAAUUGGAAGGGACCCAUAAGGAUCAUUGAGUCCAACUCCAUGUAUAUCUGUAUUUGGAGCUGGAGACAUCAUUCCCAUUAGGAGCUGUGAACUUGAAUCAGUGUGAGUCUUCUUCCUGAAGUCACUUAGAAUUCAUUUGGCAUUUCCACUACUUUCUGAGGAGAUGUUGGCUACUGUGACACUGAGCAUACAGCUGUAUGACUACUGUUCUGGUCUUUUACAACUCACGGAUGUUACACAGUUCUCUUACCACUCCUCAGCUGGAUUGUAACCUGACUCUAGAGAAACAUAACUCAGAUUAUUCAGGAUCUGAUGAAAACACGUGACUCUUCAAGUGCCUCUGUGAAGAUACCUGUCUGUGCACAUGCAGAUAGACAUCCAUGGCCCCUAUUCUUCUGUGUUGUAGGCUGAAUAGAAAGCCUUUAAUACUACCGGCAAGACUAGGCCUGGAUGAUGCAUGCUCCAGGGCCAAAUGAAAGGAUUUGCAGUCA